CUGUGAGCUCGAUGAGUAGGGCGGGACACGUGGUAUCCUGUCUGAAUAUGGGGGGACCAUCCUCCAAGGCUAAAUACUCCUGACUGACCGAUAGUGAACCAGUACCGUGAGGGAAAGGCGAAAAGAACCCCGGCGAGGGGAGUGAAAAAGAACCUGAAACCGUGUACGUACAAGCAGUGGGAGCCUCUUAAUGGGGUGACUGCGUACCUUUUGUAUAAUGGGUCAGCGACUUAUAUUCUGUAGCAAGGUUAACCGAAUAGGGGAGCCGAAGGGAAACCGAGUCUUAACUGGGCGUUAAGUUGCAGGGUAUAGACCCGAAACCCGGUGAUCUAGCCAUGGGCAGGUUGAAGGUUGGGUAACACUAACUGGAGGACCGAACCGACUAAUGUUGAAAAAUUAGCGGAUGACUUGUGGCUGGGGGUGAAAGGCCAAUCAAACCGGGAGAUAGCUGGUUCUCCCCGAAAGCUAUUUAGGUAGCGCCUCGUGAAUUCAUCUCCGGGGGUAGAGCACUGUUUCGGCAAGGGGGUCAUCCCGACUUACCAACCCGAUGCAAACUGCGAAUACCGGAGAAUGUUAUCACGGGAGACACACGGCGGGUGCUAACGUCCGUCGUGAAGAGGGAAACAACCCAGACCGCCAGCUAAGGUCCCAAAGUCAUGGUUAAGUGGGAAACGAUGUGGGAAGGCCCAGACAGCCAGGAUGUUGGCUUAGAAGCAGCCAUCAUUUAAAGAAAGCGUAAUAGCUCACUGGUCGAGUCGGCCUGCGCGGAAGAUGUAACGGGGCUAAACCAUGCACCGAAGCUGCGGCAGCGAC
rnacentral:rRNA from 1 species